rnacentral:rRNA from 1 species
CGUAGGACGCAAGCGUUGUCCGGAAUCACUGGGCGUAAAGCGCGUGUAGGCGGAACGGCAAGUCUGCUGUGAAAGCCCUCGGCUCAACCGGGGGAGGUCGGUGGAAACUGCCGCUCUGGAGGCCGGUAGAGGGGGGUGGAAUUCCCGGUGUAGUGGUGAAAUGCGUAGAGAUCGGGAGGAACACCUGUGGCGAAGGCGGCCCCCUGGGCCGCGCCUGACGCUGAGACGCGAAAGCGCGGGGAGCGAACGGGAUUAGAUACCCCGGUAGUCCGCGCAGUAAACGAUGUGUACUAGGUGUGGGGGGUAUCGAGCCCCUCCGCGCCGUAGCUAACGUGAUAAGUACACCGCCUGGGGAGUACGGCCGCAAAGGUUA